CUCUCUCUGCCAUGUGAGGACAAAGGAGAAGCUGGCAGUCUGCAGCCCAGAAAAGGGUUCUUACUGGAAAUGACCAUGCUGGCACCUUGAUCUCAUACUUCUAGUCUCCAAAACUGUGAGAAGUAAAAUUUUCUUACUUAUAAGCCACCCAGUGUAUGAUACUUUGUAAUGGCAAGCUGAACUGACUAAGAGAAGUGAGUGUGAAAGAACUGGCUAUUCAAGAGAGUGUUGGAGAUUCUGGCAAGCAGAGAUUCUUCGGAGCCCAGGUGGAAAGUGAAGCGCUGAGUUGGGGAGAAAUGCUCAUGCCUUCUGCAGACUACUGAGGAGGAAGCAACAGCAGCUGUGCAUUGGGCCCACAGAAAGAAUGGUUGAAGACUGCAGUGUAUUUUGAGUUUCUGCUUUGGAGGGGAGGGUUGGUCCUGAUGCCCACAGACGAAUGGCCUCCUGGUUCCAAUCAAGGCCAGCCCAAAAGUCUGCUUCUGGAACCCAAACCUAAGGGACUCAGCUAUGUUUGUGUUGACCUACUAUCAAUAAAGAAGAUCCUUAUUUAAGAACAGGCCACCUUCUGUUUUACACAUAUACUUUCUGACCCUAGAAAUUGUUCAGAAGGUGGAAUGUUUUGCUGUUUCAAUGAGAUCACAUGUGUAAAGGCUCUUUGUACACUGCAGGAGCUAUAGAAAUGUGAGUUAUGAUUGCUCAAAUUUCAUUCCCUUUGCUCUAAUUUUGAGUUAGGGGAGAGAAAGCCGGCCUGUAAAGUACAUAUCACAGUUUCUCUUUCUCAGCUUUCAACUGCAUGGGAGUUUGUAUUUCUGUUUCUACUACUCCAUUUCCUCUGCUGAUACCCUGCCAGGGAGGUGAAUGUAUCAAGUCAGGAAGUAGACUUCUCAGAAUAAAGAAUGCAGAAUUAGAAUGUUUAGUGCACCCAAGGUUAGGUGUAGAGUGUGUCAUAUGAAAGUAAUAGGUAUACUUUUUUCAUAGCAUUUAAUAUGCCUUUAUCCUUAAAUUUUUAAUAGGUUUUGAUAUAUCAAAGUAUAUAAAAGUAUACACUUUAUUAUAAUUGUCAACUGUAUUUUUGUAGUUUUCUUCUCUCACUUUUCAGAGAGGGGAGAAUUUAGCCCUUACUGUGAAAACAAAUACACAAGGAAGAAACAAGCUUAUUACAAACAAGAAUGUUCCUCUAUUACAUGUACUGAUCUAAAAACCUUAGUCUAGUUACUCCUCCUGAAGCUCAUGUUUAAUAUUUGGAAUAGAAAAUACUUUUCUAUUAAAAAAUCCAGAAGAAAUUAAGAUAUUGAUUUUUCCCCAUAAGAUCUCUGUUGUGGUGACUGCAGUGACUGUAAUAUCUUCUGUCGUUGCAUUUGUAAUGGCUUCAUCAAGAAUGAGAUUGCCUCCCAAAGGGUGGGUUAGAAGUUUCCCAUCUGCAGGCAUUGCUUGGCCAGCAUCUAUCCUCUAUUUCCACAACCCACCAUGUUUUUUGGAAUAAUAUGGGUGCUCUUAGUAACUCAUGCAAGGGUGGUCAUUUUGCUUCUGUAUGAUAUUGAUUCUAUAACUUGCAACCAGUGGCAGAGCUCAGUGGAGGACUUUCCACCUUCCACCCACCCUGCUCUUUUCUGGCCACAGCCAAGAGCUCCAGAUUACAGAGAUUCUGACUGGUGAAUUUGGAAGUAAUCACUUCAUUUCCCAGGAGGUCCAAUUCAGGAUAUACCUCUAGUUUAGAGUUGGUUGCGAGAGUUAUGCAAACCAACAAUAAAACUGGGAGACUCCAGACGCCAUUGCCCUCAAGGCCUUGGGCACAGCCCAGGGAGUGCCUGGCUGUGUGGACUUGGAGCCAAGGGCCCUGGGACUGCAUGCGACACCACUACUCAACACACAAGAGAUUCCCAGCUUAGCACAAAAUAGGUUUUUGUUUGAUUCCUUCCCAGUGUUUACCUAAUUUAAACUCUGUACUCUAAUUUGAACAAUUGUUAUGUUUGCUCUCAAUAAAUCAAAAUGAGAUGUUCUGAAUAAUCCAUUUGGUACCAAUGGAAAAAAAAACCCACUGUUGAAAUGUAUGAUUGUUAUUUUGGUGAAAACAUGAAGAAUAAAAU
rnacentral:lncRNA from 1 species